UUUACUGUAGCGAACGGUUGCCUUUAGCUCUACAUUUCCCAUAAAAGAGCAUUUACACUUUCCAGGAGCCCACUGAAUGAUCUGAUGGCUGCAGCAUCGCUGUUCAAGCAGGGACAAGUUCCAGUCAGAGCUAGCUACCAGUUUGGAUGAAGCAGCAGUGACACUGGUAGUCCCAGCAAGGAUGAAGAGGGUUAAUUAGCACGGUGGUAAAAAUGCCAGCAGUUGCCAGAAUAUCAUCUCCACGUGGGCUUCCAUCACAGUAACUCUUUGGGUUUAG